rnacentral:tRNA from 1 species
CACGGGAAAUGGUCGGGAUAGCUCAGUUGGUAGAGCAGC